rnacentral:rRNA from 1 species
UACGUAGGGUCCGAGCGUUGUUCGGAGUUACUGGGCGUAAAGGGCGCGCAGGUGGCGGUGUUGGCCCGGCGUGAAAGCCCCCGGCUCAACCGGGGAGGGUCGUCGGGGACCGCACCGCUUGAGGGCGGUAGGGGCUGGUGGAAUGCCUGGUGUAGUGGUGAAAUGCGUAGAGAUCAGGCGGAACACCCGUAGCGAAGGCGGCCAGCUGGGCCGUCCCUGACACUGAGGCGCGAAGGCGUGGGGAGCGAACGGG